UACGAAGGGGGGCUAGCGUUGUUCGGAAUUACUGGGCGUAAAGGGCGCGUAGGCGGCCCGAUUAGUCCGCUGUGAAAGUCCAGGGCUCAACCCUGGAAUGCCGGUGGAUACUGUCGGGCUAGAGUCCGGAAGGGGCGAGUGGAAUUCCUGGUGUAGCGGUGAAAUGCGCAGAUAUCAGGAGGAACACCGGUGGCGAAGGCGGGUCUCUGGGCCGAUACUGACGCUGAGGAGCGAAAGCGUGGGGAGCAAACAGG
rnacentral:rRNA from 1 species